rnacentral:lncRNA from 1 species
CCACCACACUCUGGCACAACAGCCCAAGUUCACUUCAAUGGGCUAAAGAUUCUCCCAUUCUGACACUUAACUUUUAGGAAGAGUGGCCUCUCUUCCAGCCCCCGCCCCUCCACUAGAUCCUAUAGACCUACCAACCCAACUAUUGUUUAGAACUCCAGUUACCAAAGCUUGUCUGAUCCUGGCCCUGGAUCACAUAAGAGCUGUGCCCUGAGUGUCAUAAGCUAUUGUCAUGGAAUAACUUUCUUUGGUGGUGAGACUUGGGGAAGGGAAUUGUUUCUAGCACAUUUGCACCAGGCAUUGACAAAGGACAGGAGUAGAAAUGAAGGCACCUACCAGGGAGUCCGUAGGUCCCAUUGGAAUCUGACCUUGUUUAGUGCUACUUCGUACAUUUAUGAUCUGAUUUACCAUGGACUCCUUUCUCUGAUUCCUAGCUGAAGGUCUCUAGUUCUUUAUCCAGCCAGGCUCUCCUCAGUGGAAGUGGCUUCAUAAGAAUCAGGGGGGAAAUUUGUCUGAGCCAUUCCCCUGACUGAUUACCCUGGGAGGAGACAGAAUAUUUGUCCAGGACUUUUGUUUGUUUGCUUUGAUCCUGUAGUAAACAGAACUGACCCCCUCAAUGAGGUGAGAUCAUGAGAAACAUUUUCCAUCUCCCUCUGUUAUCCUGCUUUGAGAAGAAAAAUGAAAAGUGCCAGAGGAAAUUGCAUUUAGAACUCCAAAGGUGAGAGGAGUGAUCUCCCCGCCCCCCACAUGAUUUGAUUUUUAAGCCCUGGAGAACUGGAGGCUAUAGAAGCCAUGACCUUUCAGCUUCUCCUCAAAUAAAAAACAAGCCAGUCUUCCCUGCAGCAAACUCUGCCAAGCUUCUCAACUGCCUUCUCCCUGUCUUUCUGUCCGCUCCCAUCUCUGAGGACCCAGUGUGUGCUAUAGGGCCUGUGGCUACCAUCUAGGGUGUCUUAUACCUGUGCCAACCAUUUCCUGAACAAGUUGGCAUCUUGAAAUAGAAAUAGCUACCAUUUAAUCAAACUUUGAGCAAGAAGCAAUAGUCCUCCUGGGCUGAUGAUCACCUGCUUAGCAUCAUGACAUUGGAGUUAGCUUGCCAUUUUCUGUAACCUCCCCCAUUUUUGUGAUGCAGACCCAGUGACCUAUUCAAGGCCAAAAACGCAGAUGGAGUUUUCACUUUUUAAUCCAUCAUGGACUUCAAACAGCUAAGAGAGGGAGGAAGAAAGGGAAGCCUAUAGGUUAUAUAAAAUUUAACUAGAUGUAGGCCAACCAUGCAGAACCAGAGGUAAGCGCUUUCAAAGGACUUGAGGGCUGUGAUACAGGGCCACCUCAGACACCAUGACAGCUACAAGUCCUUGAUGGAUUUGUUCAAAUCUCUGGGACUCGGUUUCCUCACCUAGUUGAAUUAGAGUUUAGACCAAAAGAAUUUCUAAUGCUCCUUUAGGUUUAACAGUCAAUAAUGUUUAUCUGUGAUAGGAAAGCAGAAUCAAAGUUGGCCUUGGUGAGCCAUCAUAAUUAAGGAAAAGCCAGAAUCUUUGUGAAGGAGAUGGGGAAAGGGAAGG